rnacentral:rRNA from 1 species
UUUGGAAUAUUGCACAAUGGGGGAAACCCUGAUGCAGCGACGCCGCGUGGAGGACGAAGGAUCUAGGUCUGUAAACUCCUUUUGCCAGGAAAGACUUAGGACGGUACCUGGCGAAUAAGCCCCGGCUAACUACGUGCCAGCAGCCGCGGUAAGACGUAGGGGGCGAGCGUUGUCCGGAUUUACUGGGCGUAAAGAGCGCGUAGGCGGCUAGUUAAGUGAGAAGUGAAAUCUCCAGGGCUCAACCCGGAAACUGCUUUUCAUACUGGCCAGCUGGAGGACGCAGGGGUGACUGGAAUUCCCGGUGUAGCGGUGAAAUGCAUUGAUAUCGGGAGGAACUCCGAACAGCGAAGGCAGGUCACUGGGCGUUUCCUGACGCUGAGGCGCGAAAGCGUGGGUAGCAAACAGGAUUAGAGACCCCGGUAG